rnacentral:tRNA from 1 species
GGCGGCGUAGCUCAGUCGGUAGAGCAAGGGAAUCAUAAUCCCUGGGUCCGCGGUUCAAAUCCGUGCGCCGCUA